CCUCUCGGUGAAGAAGAGCUCACCUCGUACAUCCUGAUGGGGCUCGACAUGGAGUACAACCAGCUCGUGUAUGUUGUCCUAGCACGGGUGGAACCCAUCUCCGUCAGUGAUUUGAUGGUGCAGCUGUUGAGCUUUGAGG
rnacentral:snoRNA from 1 species